CCCGCUGAAUUUAAGCAUAUCAAUAAGCGGAGGAAAAGAAACUAACAAGGAUUCCCUUAGUAACGGCGAGCGAACCGGGA
rnacentral:ncRNA from 1 species